GGGCCCGUAGCUUAGCUAGGUAGAGCGCCCGGCUCAUAACCGGGAGGUCCCGGGUUCAAAUCCCGGCGGGCCCACCA
rnacentral:tRNA from 1 species